UGGGGAAUUUUGGACAAUGGGCGCAAGCCUGAUCCAGCAAUGCCGCGUGCAGGAUGAAGGCCUUCGGGUUGUAAACUGCUUUUGUACGGAGCGAAAAGGUCUGCCCUAAUACGGUGGGCUCAUGACGGUACCGUAAGAAUAAGCACCGGCUAACUACGUGCCAGCAGCCGCGGUAAUACGUAGGGUGCGAGCGUUAACCGGAAUUACUGGGCGUAAAGCGUGCGCAGGCGGUUAUAUAAGACAGGUGUGAAAUCCCCGGGCUCAACCUGGGACCUGCAUUUGUGACUGUAUAGCUAGAGUACGGUAGAGGGGGAUGGAAUUCCGCGUGUAGCAGUGAAAUGCGUAGAUAUGCGGAGGAACACCGAUGGCGAAGGCAAUCCCCUGGACCUGUACUGACGCUCAUGCACGAAAGCGUGGGGAGCAAACA
rnacentral:rRNA from 1 species